GCUCAGCCUUUGCAGCCUUCAGUGCAACAGGGAGGUUGUGCUGCAGCUGAAAUCGAAGUCUUUGACAGAGAUUGAUUUCAACACCACCUAUCUGGACAGACCUCUUACCCACAGCAUCGUAGGUGGAGGCUGAUCAAGGACUUUUGAGGCUCAAGUGGUCUAAAACCCUGAACGGAGACCGCAGGGGACUUUAGAUUUCAAUAAAUGGGAAAGAUUUUCUAUGCCAAGAACAACUGGAAUUUGUAAAGUCUGCAUGAGGAAUGGGCUUCUUCUUUGAUGCCUGAAGUAAAAACUCAAGGAAGGAUAUCCAGACUCACCUUCAGGUACGUUAUUUUCAAAUUACCUACUCUGUCUCUGCUUCUGACGGCUGCUGUAACAAAUCACCAUGAAUUUAGUGGCUCCGAACAACAUAGAUUUAUCACUUUACGGUUUGGGGGGUCAGAAGUCCAACAUGAAUGUUGCUGGGCUAAAAUUAAGGUGUCAGCGAGGCCAUGUCUUUCUGGAGGCUCUAGGGGAGUGAUGUGGUUGGCCUGUGUCCCCACCCAAAUCUCAUCUUGAACGUGGUUUGCCUUUAU